ACCCCUAAGGCGAGGCCGAAAGGCGUAGUCGAUGGGAAACGGGUUAAUAUUCCCGUACUUGGUGUUACUGCGAAGGGGGGACGGAGAAGGCUAUGUUGGCCGGGCGACGGUUGUCCCGGUUUAAGCGUGUAGGUGUGUGUUCCAGGUAAAUCCGGUUCACUUUAACACUGAGGCGUGACGACGAGGCACUACGGUGCUGAAGCAACAAAUGCCCUGCUUCCAGGAAAAGCCUCUAAGCAUCAGGUAACAUCAAAUCGUACCCCAAACCGACACAGGUGGUCAGGUAGAGAAUACCAAGGCGCUUGAGAGAACUCGGGUGAAGGAACUAGGCAAAAUGGUGCCGUAACUUCGGGAGAAGGCACGCUGACACGUAGGUGAAGUGAUUUACUCAUGGAGCUGAAGUCAGUCGAAGAUACCAGCUGGCUGCAACUGUUUAUUAAAAACACAGCACUGUGCAAACACGAAAGUGGACGUAUACGGUGUGACGCCUGCCCGGUGCCGGAAGGUUAAUUGAUGGGGUCAGCGCA
rnacentral:rRNA from 1 species